rnacentral:lncRNA from 1 species
CCCCGCUGGAGUGGUCAGCGUAGUGACAUUCCCUCCAGAACAGAGAGGCUCUGACAGGUUUUUGGAUUCUGUGCAGUUUUGCAAGUUGGAGUUAUCAAAGCUGAGCAUUGCGCUUGCCAGAGCGCUUGUCCUCCUCCAGGGGCUGAGCGCAAUCGGAAGGUGGCGCAGCUCAACGGCCAGACACCGCUUAAGACUCAGCCCUGCCUCAAACCUCCCGUGCGGGGAUGGAAACACUGCUAAUGCCCAGUCCUUGACCAUUUCACCCUUCGUACGGGCAGGUGGGAACAUCCACUGA